rnacentral:rRNA from 1 species
UACGUAGGGUGCGAGCGUUAAUCGGAAUUACUGGGCGUAAAGCGUGCGUAGGCGGUGGGGUAAGUUUGAGGUGAAAGCUCCGGGCUCAACCCGGAAACUGCCUUGAAAACUAUCCGGCUAGAGGGUUGGAGGGGAGACUGGAAUUCUCGGUGUAGCAGUGAAAUGCGUAGAUCUCGAGAGGAACACCAGUGGCGGAAGGCGGGUCUCUGGACAACACCUGACGCUGAGGCACGAAAGCCAGGGGAGCAAACGGG